UUGGAUGUUUUGCUAUGAAGAAAGAGGAUACAAGAUGAGAUCUGAGGGCUUCGUUUUUGUAGCCCAUAAGCCCCAUCUGCGAAAGUGCGCCUCUUCAUCAAAGUGUGGAGAUUCUUGAUUCCCUCCUCCCGACCACGUAGGAUUUUAAAAAGGGGGGGGGGGGGGGCGAACUACGGACGUGAGUUGGCAUGCAUGUGUGUCUGAAGAAGAAGAAAAAAAAACAAGAAAAGGAGUCCCGGUGCUUUGUCCUCCAUGUCUCUCUCUCUCUCUCUCUCUCUCUCUCUCUCUCUCUCUCUCUCUCUCUCUCUCUCUGUCUCUCUCUCUCUGCGUCCCGUCACUGCCACGCAGAAAGAGGGCUGCACGUGGCGCAGCACGUCUGUCAGACGCUGGAAACCAUGCGAGGUCCGACUCCAGCCGUGGGACCCACGGUGGUCCGGGAAUAACUGUGUCGCUGCUGCGUCGCUGUACGGGUCGCGCAGGAGCGUCGUGCAACUGCGGCCGCUUAGAGAGAGAGAGAGGCAGAAAGAGAGAGAGAGGCAGAGAGAGAGAGAGAGGGGGGACCAACGACCCGGCAGCUUCCUCUAUUCUGUCAUCCAAGGGUAGUGAGGAGAUGCUGAGACAGUGAAGUGGCUGCAUGUUUGUCUUCUCUCGUUUUUAAACUUUUUUCUUUCUGCACGGGAUCCGCUUGUACCGCUUUGAAGAUCGCGUGUCACUGGGGUGUUGCCCCCCCUCUGGACUAUUGGGGCUUUGGUAACGCAAGGUUACUCCUGACUGAGAUCCACCCGCAGAAACGUGCCCUAAAAUUCUGAACGGACUUCAACCGGAGAUGCGGGAUUUAUUCGCUUUCUGUGGCUCUAAGUGAAGUCAAGUCCUACAGAAAUACUCGCACCUCAUCCGCAGGCCUGCAAGCGACAGACAGCCGACCUUCUGGCCUGAGGAGCAGAGGUCAGCGACGGGGUCAGAUCAUCGCUGUGACGUCAGAGCUUGAGAAGAAGAGGAGGUGGCGGCGGAGGAGGGAAAAGAGAAGCAGAGUGGGUGGAAGAACGGAAGAAGAGGAGGAUGGAAGCAGUUUGAGGAGGUUGUUCGAAGCGGGUGAACCCAGAGCAGGUGAACGCAGCUGUGGAUCGCCAUGGGCUUUCUGUCUACUUCCUCUUGUGGGCCAAGCUGCUCUGUACUGGGGUUCCGAAGACCCAACAGGGGCCAGCCAAAAGCUGCAGCGAAGCGGGCAGGCUAGGCCAGGAAAGAGGCAGGUGAGCCGGGUGAGCCGAGCUCCCGUUCCCGCCGGCUAGGAGUCUCCUCGGCAGAGCAGAGCAGCGCGGAGCAGCAGAAAUCAAUACCGAGGAGAGAGGCGAGCAGAGGUUGCCCAACACCGCCUGCAGGCCUCAGAGCCCAGGGACCAACCACCACCACCACCACUACUCCCAGCUCCUGUCUACCAAUUCUCCUUCUAUCUCUCUCCUGGAGUUCCAGUACCGGCCAGGGCCCUCACCUCGCAGCUGCCCUAAUCACAGUGUGUUUGCCAGAACAUGCACACUUACGCGCAGGAAAGUAAAAUGAAAAGAGACAGAAACUAUCCUGGUGUGUGGUUCAGCUGGAGGUUUUCCAACUCUGCUUGAUAAAACUUUGCCAAAGACACACAAGGCACUGGUUGAAGAGCGAGCCGUGACGUGGAGGUCCCUUUCCUUCCGGCUCCCACGCUCCAAUUAGUCAUUCCACCUUUACCUUUUCUGAAUGAGGAUGCUACGGAGGACGUUGCAGCUCAGUGCUGUUUCCAAGCACGUAUAGCGCACAGUAUUCCUAAGAUCUCAUGAGCCCGGAUGAAAGGACAAUUUGAACUUUUUCCUCUCAUCUACUGUAUCAGGCAGAAGCUGUCUUUUCGCCUUAGAUUUUCUUACCCGCACAACAGCAGCUCCCUUCAGAGGAUAUGGCAGUGCAGUAUUGAUCCGUGAGGUGGAAGAGAGAAAGGCGGGUUCAGGCUUUCAUACCUCUUUCUCUUACGGUGUGUGUAUGUGUGUGUGUUUUGAGGUGAAAGGGGGGAUUGUACCUGAAGUCCACUUACUGCUGUGCAGAACGGAUCCAGUGACAGCACAGGUGAAUGACUGCUAAUUGAAUGAGAGCUCAAGUGAAAAGGACCUUAGUUUGACAGACUUGUUCCUCCUCCGUAUAUGCAAAGCCCUCUGAAGUUCUCACUCAGCAUAGGAAAGUAAAAGCAGAGGAACCCCUUCACAUGGCGCCUGGAAGACGCAUCCUCACUAAACUUCCACUUGUAGAGUUCGUGCUGUGCAUGUUUGAGGCCUGGAUUAAGGUUUUUGCCCAAAAAACCUGGAGAUAUUCUCUUCAGAUUGACAUUUAUGAUGCAGUCGGUGAAAGGCCACCAUGAGGAUUAACAAUGGGCCCUUUCUCAACAUUGGGCCUGAAAAAAUAAGAUGGCACACAUGCCUCCUUUAGCUAGCUACACAGUUAGCCUGCUCCAGCUUCCCACCUACCUGAUCAGUUUGCUGCACCGUUUGGGGCAGAUAAUCCAUGUCUUGUCCUUAAGACAUCAGGUAAAAAGGAGCCGCUUCUGAAGGUGAGUUUAAUCAUUUAAUUUUUUUCUAUGUUGUGUUGUCUUUCAUUCUGCAGAUUUGUCUGUAGCUUGCAGUCCGUCAUGUUUAAAAUCGUGCAAUAAGACUUUGCUAAUAAUAAAAUUUGCAUUUCUAUUUUAUUUUUUCCCCCACCCUAAAAACAGCAUUUACAGAUACAGCUCCCGGCACUUUUAAAGGCUGAUAGAGAUAAGUAAAAGGCCUGAAAAUAAUUUCUUUUUUUGCAGCAGCACAAUCGCACAUUUAAAAAAAUGCUGCUAUUUUUAUUGAGGUUUAGAGAUUUUAUUUCACCUCUUUUACCAGCCUCUUCCCAGUUACAGGAUCAACUUUGGUCCUUUUUCAUCCUUCUUUGUCACUGUUUCAGUUCUUUCCAUUAUUCCUCUGACUCCAGAUGUGGCAGGUUAACCCAGCUGGUUAUUUUAAUGUGGUUAUUUCCUGCCUUACUUGGUUUAUUCUCUUCUCUCUCCCAUUUCAAGAUUGGCAUAAAAUUACUCAGAUCAAAAUGAUGAAAUGAUAUUUGGACUUUUAGAAACAAUGCUUAUGUUAGGUCUAUUUAGUGAAGAAUGUUGUGCUUUGGAUUUUGUAAGAGGAAAACAAUUUAUUUCUUUUUUUUUUGUCAAAAUAUUUCUUUUGAAUUUAAAUUUUUUCUUUCUUGUUUUUAGUGUGAGAUUAUGCUACUGCAAGAAAAGGUAACAUUUAUUCCACGUCAUUACCAAUAGUUAUAAAUGAGUGCUGUGUAAUAUUUGUGAUUGUGAGAUGAGUAAGAUUUUCUUGAACCACAGUUUACUGUUAUAAUAUUCUGAAAUUUUUAAUAAAACUGAUAAAAAUGUGAAAUAACAAA